rnacentral:rRNA from 1 species
GAACUUUCCAGAGAUGGAUUGGUGCCUUCGGGAACUGUGAGACAGGUGCUGCAUGGCUGUCGUCAGCUCGUGUUGUGAAAUGUUGGGUUAAGUCCCGCAACGAGCGCAACCCUUAUCCUUUGUUGCCAGCGGUCCGGCCGGGAACUCAAAGGAGACUGCCAGUGAUAAACUGGAGGAAGGUGGGGAUGACGUCAAGUCAUCAUGGCCCUUACGACCAGGGCUACACACGUGCUACAAUGGCGCAUACAAAGAGAAGCGACCUCGCGAGAGCGAGCGGACCUCAUAAAGUGCGUCGUAGUCCGGAUUGGAGUCUGCAACUCGACUCCAUGAAGUCGGAAUCGCUAGUAAUCGUGGAUCAGAAUGCCACGGUGAAUACGUUCCCGGGCCUUGUACACACCGCCCGUCACACCAUGGGAGUGGGUUGCAAAAGAAGUAGGUAGCUUAACCUUCGGGAGGGCGCUUACCACUUUGUGAUUCAUGACUGGGGUGAAGUCGUAACAAGGUAACCGUAGGGGAACCUGCGGUUGGAUCACCUCCUUACCUUAAAGAAGC